CAGUUUCAUCAAACAUUGUUUUUCUCGCCAGAACUUUGUAACUGAAGAAGUUGAUUUCAGCCUUAACUUCCAUCAAUAAAUUAUUAGAGAUUAACGAUGGAAUUCAUUGGCAUCAAAACCAUGAAUUUUUCAUCCUUCUAGCUUCCCUCAAGUCUUAACUAUUUUCAUACACUAUUUAUAUGGAGCUGAAGAGGACGGCUAUGUGCAUCAAAUCGUCACUGUCUUCUAUUAUACCUAAGAACCUGCAAGCAGGUUACAACAUGGCGAAUCCUCAACUGCCUCUUUCUGAGUUGGCUGGUCGGUACAAGGAAACCGGAUCCGUCUCCUGAUCAGUUUAUGGGAAGCAAGGAAUGUGGGGGAGAGCUGACGGGGAUUGACAUAUUUUGGCUGAUGAGAAGUCUAAUCUGAUCCAGGGAUCUAUGAGCUGAGAGGAGUAAUCAGUACUUCAAGCUCACCACAUCACCGCCUCUAUUAGAUUCACGCAACAUACCACCAUGGUCUAUAUUGCAGAAACCAUUAAUCCAUUACCAACGGAGGUCUUCAUGUUCCAUGAUUAGGAUGAGAUGGUGGUACUAGCAACACAGACACAUACUUACCAGGAUCGCAAUGCGCAGAGAAAUUGGUGGCCUCAGGUGUUGAGCCCAAGGUGGUCGUCGCUACCAACGUGAAUCCUAAGCUGGUUGGAGGUUGUGUCUUCCUAAACGAGUGAGUGGCGCUGGCCAGAGCGUUUUUGAAGCUUAAAAUCUAAACUCUCCAACUUUAUCUUUUAACCAAAAUUCUUUCUCCUGCUUAAAAUUUUUGAUUGAAACAAGAAAUUUUCCCAAGAUGUCUCAACUUCCCAAGUUCAAAGGUGUAAUAAUUUAAAGUUACUGGACAUACUGUUAUUGAAGUUGUUUUCUUGGUUUUCUA